rnacentral:tRNA from 1 species
ACUCUCAAAGGAUAAUAGUAUUCCGGCAGUUUUAGGAACUACUACUUCUUGGUGCAACCCCAAGUGAGAGCA